UGGGGGAUAUUGCACAAUGGGGGGAACCCUGAUGCAGCGACGCCGCGUGGGUGAAGGAGCGUUUCGGCGCGUAAAGCCCUAUCGGCAGGGAAGAAAAAGAGCUGAAGCUCUUGGGACGGUACCUGACUAAGAAGCCCCGGCUAACUACGUGCCAGCAGCCGCGGUAAUACGUAGGGGGCAAGCGUUAUCCGGAUUUACUGGGUGUAAAGGGAGCGUAGACGGCGCGGCAAGUCUGGAGUGAAAGCCCGGGGCCCAACCCCGGGACUGCUCUGGAAACUGCCGUGCUGGAGUGCGGGAGGGGCAGGCGGAAUUCCUGGUGUAGCGGUGAAAUGCGUAGAUAUCAGGAGGAACACCGGCGGCGAAGGCGGCCUGCUGGACCGUGACUGACGUUGAGGCUCGAAAGCGUGGGGAGCAAACAGG
rnacentral:rRNA from 1 species